GAGGCCUGACACAUGCAGGUCGAACGGUGGCAGCAAGGUCAUAGUGGCGCACGGGUGCGUAACACGUAACUAACCUGCCCAAGACUGGGGGAUAGCCCGCCGAAAGGCGGAUUAAUACCGCAUAAUAUCUUGUACUGGCAUCAGUGAUUGAUUAAACCUGAGGGGGUCUUGGAUGGGUUUGCGGCUCAUUAGCUAGUUGGUGCGGUAACGGCGUACUAAGGUGACGAUGACUAGGGGAGCUGAGAGGCUGGUCCCCCACACGGGCACUGAGAUACGGGCCAGACUCCUACGGGAGGCAGCAGUAGGGAAUAUUGGGCAAUGGGCGAGAGCCUGACCCAGCCAUGCCGCGUGCAGGAAGAAGGCUUUCUGAGUUGUAAACUGCUUUUGAUAGGGAAGAAUAACCAGUACGUGUACUGGGAUGACGGUACCUACAGAAUAAGCACCGGCUAACUCCGUGCCAGCAGCCGCGGUAAU
rnacentral:rRNA from 1 species